rnacentral:rRNA from 1 species
AUGCGGCCUUCUGUAAUCAAUAUAAUCACCAUGACUCUGUAUUCUUCUUCUCAAUUUCAGGGCGGAACAUCGGCGAACUUUUCAAUCAGAGCAUGCAUCUGCCGUGGAUAUCUCCGUCAGAUAGGCGUACGACAGUCUCUGACGAGCUAUGCUUCCUACUUGGGAAACCAGGCUUCAGAGUUCAUACCGGCUGUCAUCAAGGCGAAUCAAGGCUUCUCGGCAAGCUGUUCGCGAUCUCGUUCCAGAAUGUAUGCAAGGUCAGCCUUUUGUAUUGCAAUUUCAUGCUUGGAUAUCCAAUACUAA